GGAGGAUACUUGUACCUGUAUGGAGCAUUAUGUAACAGUUUACGAAAGUGUACUAAGUCCCAGGUACACUUAGGGCAUUUAAGGUUUUAAUGUGGAUCUGUCUGAGACAUGACUGGGGAGUUCAUCCAGAUUGCAUAGAUCUAGCAGGUGUGACUGAGGAAGAGACCGGCGUCCCGUGGAAAAAUGCUUCUGUGGCUCCUGGUCACUGUCAACCAGAGUGCAGUUGUCUGUUGCUCAUGAUGUACAUGACUCACCGGAUUGCUCUUGGUGGGGGACCAACAUCGGGAACAAGAGUGCAUGUGUUGUCUGCAGGUAACCAGGCAGCAGGCUGAUCCCAACACAGUACUGUGCUUUCCUGUUGCAGUGAGCUCCUCCACAGCUUCUGCUAUGCUGGGUUUGACUUCCACAUGAAGUGAUAUCUGGACCUUCAUCACUGGCUGGAAGUGCACUUUGGAUGAAAAUGAGAAGUUAGCUUUAGAUGUGACCUACAAGCUCAAGCUGCAACAUUUUAAUUCAUGUUAAACCAAACACAAACUAUAUUUGUUAUGCUGAAGGGAUUCUAAAGUGUAAUUUAGCUGUUUAAAUAGACUGAAGGCUUUCUUUAGGAUGAUCAGAAAGCUGAAAAAAGCAGAGGAGUUUCGGUCCUUCAGCUCAUAUUAAAAGAUUGUUACGGCCCCUGCCUAACCUACCUUAAAGGUAUUUUUGCUGGUGUGGUUAUGAGUUAUUGUUAAAUUCUUUUGUUCAUAAACGUAUCCGGAAGAAUGUGGGUGUGGCAGCCAGAUUCAGAGCACCUGGGCCAAAUGCUCCCAUAGAUCACUGUUCACACAUUCACACUUAUAUUACUGAUGUUACUGACUGACACACUCCAUGUUUGUAGUUAUUUCUUCAGUUGUUUACUUUAUUCUAAUAAAUAUCUUUAAUUUA